rnacentral:rRNA from 1 species
GUAGUCCUGGCCGUAAACGAUGUCGACUUGGAGGUUGUGCCCUUGAGGCGUGGCUUCCGGAGCUAACGCGUUAAGUCGACCGCCUGGGGAGUACGGCCGCAAGGUUAAAACUCAAAUGAAUUGACGGGGGCCCGCACAAGCGGUGGAGCAUGUGGUUUAAUUCGAUGCAACGCGAAGAACCUUACCUGGUCUUGACAUCCACGGAAGUUUUCAGAGAUGAGAAUGUGCCUUCGGGAACCGUGAGACAGGUGCUGCAUGGCUGUCGUCAGCUCGUGUUGUGAAAUGUUGGGUUAAGUCCCGCAACGAGCGCAACCCUUAUCCUUUGUUGCCAGCGGUCCGGCCGGGAACUCAAAGGAGACUGUUAGUGAUAAACUGGAGGAAGGUGGGGAUGACGUCAAGUCAUCAUGGCCCUUACGACCAGGGCUACACACGUGCUACAAUGGCGCAUACAAAGAGAAGCGACCUCGCGAGAGCAAGCGGACCUCAUAAAGUGCGUCGUAGUCCGGAUUGGAGUCUGCAACUCGACUCCAUGAAGUCGGAACCGCUAGUAAUCGUGGAUCAGAAUGCCACGGUGAAUACGUUCCCGGGCCUUGUACACACCGCCCGUCACACCAUGGGAGUGGGUUGCAAAAGAAGUAGGUAGCUUAACCUUCGGGAGGGCGCUUACCACUUUGUGAUUCAUGACUGGGGUGAAGUCGUAACAAGGUAACCGUAGGGGAACCUGCGGCUGGAUCACCUCC